rnacentral:misc_RNA from 1 species
GAUGAAGAACGUAGCGAAAUGCGAUAAGUAAUGUGAAUUGCAGAAUUCAGUGAAUCAUCGAAUCUUUGAACGCACAUUGCGCCCCCUGGUAUUCCGGGGGGCAUGCCUGUUCGAGCGUCAUUUCACCACUCAAGCCUCGCUUGGUAUUGGGCAUCGCGGUCCGCCGCGUGCCUCAAAUCGACCGGCUGGGUCUUCUGUCCCCUAAGCGUUGUGGAAACUAUUCGCUAAAGGGUGUUCGGGAGGCUACGCCGUAAAACAACCCCAUUUCUAAGGUUGACCUCGGAUCAGGUAGGAAUACCCGCUGAACUUAAGCAUAUCAAUAAGCGGAGGA